AUUAAAUUGUGUGGUGUCUAUUACUACAUUUAUGUUGUGUAAAUACCCACAACUUUUUAACAGGUAAAGCUGAGGAUAACAACAGUUUCACCAAAUGAGGAAACAGUUUUAGCUUUUAGUUGCGUUAAAUUAACAGUUGAACAUGUUCCUGAUAUUGACGUUUCUGAUUGGAUUAUUUACAUGUUCCACUGUAACUGCAGUUGACAGCAUAGAUGGCGCUUUAUUGGCAGCUGAACUAAGAAAGGUCAAAGAGGGGAUUGGUGUAAACUAUUUACAGGAGCAAUUUAACAGUUUUCCAUAUGAGACAAAAUCAGACACCGGAAACCAGUUGUUACAACGG